rnacentral:rRNA from 1 species
AACGAACGCUGGCGGCAUGCCUAACACAUGCAAGUCGAACGAGACCUUCGGGUCUAGUGGCGCACGGGUGCGUAACGCGUGGGAACCUGCCCUUAGGUUCGGAAUAACUCCCCGAAAGGGGUGCUAAUACCGGAUAAUGUCUUCGGACCAAAGAUUUAUCGCCUUUGGAUGGGCCCGCGUUGGAUUAGGUAGUUGGUAGGGUAAAAGCCUACCAAGGCGACGAUCCAUAGCUGGUCUGAGAGGAUGAUCAGCCACACUGGGACUGAGACACGGCCCAGACUCCUACGGGAGGGAGGAGUGGGGAAUAUUGGAACAUGGGCGAAAGCCUGAUCCAGCAAUGCCGCGUGAGUGAUGAAGGCCUUAGGGUUGUAAAGCUCUUUUACCCGGGAUGAUAAUGACAGUACCGGGAGAAUAAGCUCCGGCUAACUCCGUG